UGCAAUGAAACGUCCACG
rnacentral:snRNA from 1 species